rnacentral:lncRNA from 1 species
AAAUCACUGAAUCUAUGAAAUAGAAUUAUAAAUGGCAGCUGAUCAAAUGUAAGAAUACAACGAAAAUUAGAAAGGUACAUGUACGGUCGACAAUAUUAUGUGAGAAAUGAAAAUAUUGCAAGAGCUCAAUCUGAACCUUUUUUGUGUAGCAAACAUUGUAGAAAUAAGAAACCUGAUACUUUGUCGUCGCUAGAGGUCACCAGAAGUUUAUUGGAAGUCGUCGGAGGCUCUAUUCCAGUUGUCAGUGGAACCUUGUCAUUUGAAUCUGGCUCAUAAUAAUACAUGCAAAUAGAGUAGAAAUAGAAAGAAACGAUGGUAAGGAAUAGGGAAAGCGAAAGAGUGUGGGUCACUGGAGAUACAACGAAAAGUCAUUUGAGUAGGACAAGAUCCAAUCAUUGUUAUCAUUUUCUAGCUUGUAUCUUAUAUGGUAGUACCUUGAAAGGGAGUAGAAAUAAGAAGAAAAGAUAUAAGAGAGAAAAUAAAGCAAUAAGAGAUCUGAGUUUCUAGGUCAUGGGAGUCGCUGGUGGCGGCAAACCUAACAGUUGCGCGAUCAAACAACCCUAACAAAUAUGGAUGGAGAGGUCGCAAUCACCAGUGAGGUUAGCUGCGGCAGAGAGUGGAAGAGAUGACUGGCACAGUACGGUGUGGUGGCGGAGAUAACAAUUAAUUCUUGAACCCUGAAGCAAAAAAAUAAGGCUAAAUCUCAAUUGCACUUUUUGCUAGAAAUGAAAAAUAAAAGUGAAAACAUAUUUUAUAAUGGACAAGUAAAAGUGAACGGAGGGAGAACUUAAUUUGAACUAGUGUUUUGGUACUUUCUUAUAUACCAACAAAUGAAUGAAAAUUUAGAAUUAGGGAAGAAUAAUUUUAUGAAACUCCAGUUUUAAAGUAUUUAAUUAUUUAAUUUAAUUUGAAAUAGUUUGAUCUAAAUAGUUAAUGGGAUACACUAUGCCCCAUUUUAAUUUUAGUGGGAUAUCAAGUAAGCUAGACAAUACAAGUAGUAAAUUUCCUCGUAAUAAAAGAAAUUUCUUAUUUGUCAGAUAAAAAUAUUUUGAUAUAAAUCAUAUCCUAUUAUAGUAUACAUAUAAUAUGAGAACAAUCAAAGCUAAAAUUUAUUAUAAAUUUACCCAUAAAAAAUGAGUUACUAGUUUACCAUUUAAAAUAUUUUUUUUACAAAGUUAAAAAUUCUAACAAUUUAGUGCAUAAAAUAUCUCCAAAACUUUUCUAUACAAUGGAAAAAAACACGAACUCACGUCUUUUGAUCACCAUCCCAUUAGUUCUUACUAAAAACACAUUUAAAUUUUUUCAAUCAAAGUCAUCGACAAGGAUGGACGAAGAGGGAAAGACCCUUACCUCAAAUAGAUGGAGAUUUUAUUCUCAUAACUUUGAUUCUAAAAGAAUUGAAUUGUUAUAAUGAAGACAUCUAAGUAGGAAAAAAGAUAUAUUAUAGUUACUAACAAAAAAUGUGCUUCUUUAACACUUCUAUGUAUAUGAAUCCUUAUAAUAUUGCAUCUGAAUACUUUCUUAAGAACUUAUUUAUAUGAUAAGAAGUCAAUGUGUAAGAGGCAUCUUGCUCACUUGUCACUUAUUAUUCCUCGAGAAUAACACUCAUAAAGUUGACUGGUCUUUAGUCAUAUCCUUACGUGUAUUUUUAUUUUUAGAUCCUUGGCAGGUAGUACAAAGUAAAUGUAGCUCUACAAAGGAAAUAAUGAAAAACAUUCCUUAAAAUCACCGCUAGCAAACAAAAUUAUAAAUAACUCACAUAUUUCCUUCCAAGUACAACUAUUUAAAGAGAUUAAAAUAAAAUUAUCCUCACUAUCCAAAAAACAUCUCAGUUUGUACAAUUUAUUUGGCAGUGUUAUGAAUUCUUACCUUGUAUAGAGGCUCAAGGACACACCUUCCAUAAUUUCACAGAGUAUAGCUACUUGUGGUCAUGGGAUUGAACACAUCAAAUAACUUAACUUGACUCCUAAACUCUGUUAAAUAAUAUCAAUGUUGUAAUAUAAUGAGCGCAUCAAAAUUUGAAUUAAAUGUUACAUCAAAUUCAAACUUUUCUUAAUAUGAAAGUUAUUUAGAAUUCAUAAUUCAUAUGCAGAUUUUGGUUAUUAUAAUUUUAAUAUAAAAGUGUACUAUCUAGUAAUGAACUAAGUUGCCUACUCUGAAUUGAAGUAUGAAAAUUCUCUCUUUUACAUUGAGAAAUUGGUACAUAUAAAUUUAUGUACUAAGAAUUAUAAAUUGUUUAUACUUACAAAAAUAAAUCAAACUAAUACUGUCUUCAUUAACUGAGAAAUAUAUUUAUGGGUGAGUUUCAAAAAAAAGAAAAAAAAAACUUUGUGCACAUUCUCAUAUUAGAUGUAUUUUCGAAAUAAAAAUCACAUAUUAACACUAAUUUUAUCUUUAAUCAUUCAAUCAACUGUGUCUCAACCAGCGACACAACAUAUACAAAUUAUUCAUACAUAUUAAGAAACAAGUAACUAUUUAGCAAAUUAUCUUGCCAACUCAGCUCUAGAAAACGAAGGUAUAUGUCAAUAUAUAAUUUUUUAGGAUCUCCUAACUAUGAAGAGAAUAAUUCUAAACAUGGACAAAGCAUACACACAAUUAAUUAGGAUAUAAACAUAAAAUACCUACAAAGUCUAGUACAUGCAAGAAACAAGUAGAGAAACUACAGGUAAACCAAAGCAUAUUAUCAUACAAUACACCCAUAGGCCUAGAGAAGAGAAAAAUAAAACAAUGAAAGACAUCCAGAUAUCUUAGGUAAUUACAUACAUCAAAUAAAGAAUACAUCAUUAAGAAACACUCUCAAGAGGAAUUGCCAAUUACAUACCUCAUCGUGACGGUUAUCGAUUUGAGCUUGUC